rfam:Coprinopsis cinerea okayama7#130 chromosome 7 cont3.7, whole genome shotgun sequence.
GGCUACCUGGCGCAAUGGUAGCGCGUUUGGCUUCGAUGGCUAACCGGCACCAAAAGGUUGCAGGUUCGAUCCCUGCGGUGGUCA